GGGCUUGCGGCGGCUACACAUGCAGUCGAGCGGAUGAAAGGAGCUUGCUCCUGGAUUCAGCGGCGGACGGGUGAGUAAUGCCUAGGAAUCUGCCUGGUAGUGGGGGACAACGUUUCGAAAGGAACGCUAAUACCGCAUACGUCCUACGGGAGAAAGCAGGGGACCUUCGGGCCUUGCGCUAUCAGAUGAGCCUAGGUCGGAUUAGCUAGUUGGUGAGGUAAUGGCUCACCAAGGCGACGAUCCGUAACUGGUCUGAGAGGAUGAUCAGUCACACUGGAACUGAGACACGGUCCAGACUCCUACGGGAGGCAGCAGUGGGGAAUAUUGGACAAUGGGCGAAAGCCUGAUCCAGCCAUGCCGCGUGUGUGAAGAAGGUCUUCGGAUUGUAAAGCACUUUAAGUUGGGAGGAAGGGUUGUAGAUUAAUACUCUGCAAUUUUGACGUUACCGACAGAAUAAGCACCGGCUAACUCUGUGCCAGCAGCCGCGGUAAUACAGAGGGUGCAAGCGUUAAUCGGAAUUACUGGGCGUAAAGCGCGCGUAGGUGGUUUGUUAAGUUGGAUGUGAAAUCCCCGGGCUCAACCUGGGAACUGCAUCCAAAACUGGCAAGCUAGAGUAUGGUAGAGGGUGGUGGAAUUUCCUGUGUAGCGGUGAAAUGCGUAGAUAUAGGAAGGAACACCAGUGGCGAAGGCGACCACCUGGACUGAUACUGACACUGAGGUGCGAAAGCGUGGGGAGCAAACAGGAUUAGAUACCCUGGUAGUCCACGCCGUAAACGAUGUCAACUAGCCGUUGGGAGCCUUGAGCUCUUAGUGGCGCAGCUAACGCAUUAAGUUGACCGCCUGGGGAGUACGGCCGCAAGGUUAAAACUCAAAUGAAUUGACGGGGGCCCGCACAAGCGGUUGGAGCAUGUGGUUUAAUUCGAAGCAAACGCGAAGAAACUUUACCAGGCCUUGACAUCCAAUGAACUUUCCAGAGAUGGAUUGGUGCCUUCGGGAACAUGAGACAGGUGCUGCAUGCUUGUCGUCAGCUCGUGUCUUGAAUGUUGGUUAGUCCCGUAACGAUCGCAAUCCUUGUCUUAUGUACGACACGUAAUUGAUGGGCUACCCUACGAACUGCCGUGACAACUGGAGAAGGAUGGGACUGACCCUCCAGUCAUCAUUGACUUACGA
rnacentral:rRNA from 1 species